rnacentral:rRNA from 1 species
ACUCCUACGGGAGGCAGCAGUAGGGAAUAUUGGUCAAUGGGCGAAAGCCUGAACCAGCCAUGCCGCGUGUCAGAUGAAGGUCCUCUGGAUUGUAAAAUGACUUUUCUACGGGAAGAAUGAGCCGUCUGCGGACGGAAGUUGACGGUACCGUAGGAAUAAGCACCGGCUAACUACGUGCCAGCAGCCGCGGUAAUACGUAGGGGUGCAAGCGUUGUCCGGAUUUACUGGGGUUUAAAGGGUACGUAGGCGGUUGUGCCAAGUCUGGGGUGAAAGUUUGCAGCUCAACUGUAAAAUUGCCUUGGAUACUGGUCGGCUAGAGUAGUGGAGCGGUGGCUGGAAUUUAUAGUGUAGCGGUGAAAUGCUUAGAUACUAUGAGGAACACCAAUUGCGAAGGCAGGUCACUGGUCACUAACUGACGCUGAGGUACGAAAGUGUGGGGAUCAAACAGGAUUAGAUACCCUGGUAGGAUAGCG